rnacentral:rRNA from 1 species
GACGAACCGUGCGAACGUUGUUCGGAUUCACUGGGCUUAAAGGGCGCGUAGGCGGGCGGUCAAGUCAGGGGUGAAACCUUUCGGCUCAACCGGAAGAGGGCCUCUGAUACUGGCCACCUCGAGGGAGGUAGGGGCAUGUGGAACUUCCGGUGGAGCGGUGAAAUGCGUAGAGAUCGGAAAGAACACCAAUGGCGAAAGCACUCUGCUGGGCCGACACUGACACUGAGAGACGAAAGCUAGGGGAGCAAAUGGG